rnacentral:rRNA from 1 species
AACGCGAAGAACCUUACCUAGACUUGACAUCCCUGGCAAAGCUAUAGAAAUAUAGUGGAGGUUACCCAGGUGACAGGUGGUGCAUGGUUGUCGUCAGCUCGUGUCGUGAGAUGUUUGGUUAAGUCCGCUAACGAGCGCAACCCUUAUCCUUAGUUGCUAACAUUUAGUUGAGAACCCCAAGGAGACUGCCUGUGACAAACCGGAGGAAGGUGGGGAUGAGGUCAAAUCAUCAUGCCCCUUACGUCUAGGGCUACAGGCGUGCUAUAAUGGCUGGUACAAUGAGACGCAAUACUGUGAAGUGGAGCAAAUCUAUAAAGCCAGUCUCAGUUCGGAUUGAAGUCUGCAACUCGACUUCAUGAAGCUAGAAUCGCUAGUAAUCCCAAAUCAGAAUGUUGGGGUGAAUACGUUCCCGGGUCUUGUACACACGC